UCGAGCGAAUGGAUUGAGAGCUUGCUCUCAAGAAGUUAGCGGCGGACGGGUGAGUAACACGUGGGUAACCUGCCCAUAAGACUGGGAUAACUCCGGGAAACCGGGGCUAAUACCGGAUAACAUUUUGAACCGCAUGGUUCGAAAUUGAAAGGCGGCUUCGGCUGUCACUUAUGGAUGGACCCGCGUCGCAUUAGCUAGUUGGUGAGGUAACGGCUCACCAAGGCAACGAUGCGUAGCCGACCUGAGAGGGUGAUCGGCCACACUGGGACUGAGACACGGCCCAGACUCCUACGGGAGGCAGCAGUAGGGAAUCUUCCGCAAUGGACGAAAGUCUGACGGAGCAACGCCGCGUGAGUGAUGAAGGCUUUCGGGUCGUAAAACUCUGUUGUUAGGGAAGAACAAGUGCUAGUUGAAUAAGCUGGCACCUUGACGGUACCUAAC
rnacentral:rRNA from 2 species